UACGAAGGGGGCUAGCGUUGCUCGGAAUCACUGGGCGUAAAGCGCACGUAGGCGGAUUGUUAAGUCAGGGGUGAAAUCCUGGAGCUCAACUCCAGAACUGCCUUUGAUACUGGCGAUCUUGAGUCCGGGAGAGGUGAGUGGAACUCCGAGUGUAGAGGUGAAAUUCGUAGAUAUUCGGAAAGAACACCAGUGGCGAAGGCGGCUCACUGGCCCGGUACUGACGCUGAGGUGCGAAAGCGUGGGGAGCAAACAGGG
rnacentral:rRNA from 1 species